UGCUGAGUUGAUGGAGGUUUCCUCCUCCUUGAAGCCUGUCACGCCGCCGGUUGGUGAUGCUGCCUCGGACGUCGAGCUGUCAAGCUCGUCCAAGUCAUUCUCGCCGGCAUUGAACAUGCCGAGCUCAUGUCAACACACAUCCUAACAAAAAAUGAAAUAAUUUGUAUAGCAUUGAUAUAUAUGUAGAUUCUUAAAGAAGUAACCAAUUGAGUCAUGGUAGAUAGAAGAAAGGAUUUUCCUGAAAAAAACAAAUUAGAAAGGGCAUGAGAUAGAUCUCAAAAGAAGUAUGACUUGGGCAUCAAUAUGUAUCUCAAGAAGAAUGAUUUGACAAAAAGGAGUGAUGCAUGAUUGAACAAACCUGAUGAAUGAUAAAGAAUAUUUACCACCUAUAGCAAUCAAAUUAACUAAGGAUAAUGAUUUUGAGAAAGGGAAAGGUAUCACCCGUAUUCUAGAUCUCACUGCCAUGAUGCUUUGAGAGAGCGCGGUAGAGAUCUCAAUGAUUCUUUUGAUUUGAAAAAAAAAAAUAGACAUAUCUCGUGCAGACGCCAAAAGAGAUCCUUUCAAUUAGUUUGCGAGGCAGGGAUUGAAAUAUAGAUCUCAUCAGAAACGAUUUCUUAGAGAGACCAUGGCUCAUAGUAGAACAGAUCUCAAUGAUACUUUGCGAUGGAUCAAGAAGUAGGUAGAUCUCGUGCGGAUGCCAAAAGAGAUCCUUUCAAGAAGUUUGCGAGGC
rnacentral:lncRNA from 1 species